rnacentral:rRNA from 1 species
CUCCACCUCUUCCCAUUCCGAACAGAGAAGUUAAACCUUAUCACGCCGAUGGUACUGCGAAAGCGGGAGAGUAGGUAAUCGCCCCCU